rnacentral:misc_RNA from 1 species
AUUAUAAUGCUUUUACAUACAGUUAUACAAGAAUCCUGGGCAGAAAUUACAAAAAAUUGGAAUUGAACAAAAUCAGUUGCUCAAACAAUGGUUCAAAGAGGAAAUGGACACGCCCAGUGCGAAGGAUCUUCUGUGAGGCAGUGGCCACUGCUUGAGCUUGCGAAGAAAACUUGGUUUUCUCCAAAGCCAAUCUGAAUUAAUAUGAACAGGUACAUCAUGCAAGCCUGACAUAAUCCAAAUGUUCUUCCUCCCAGAAACAUG